rnacentral:rRNA from 1 species
GAUGAACGCUGGCGGCGUGCCUAAUACAUGCAAGUCGAGCGAACGGACGAGAAGCUUGCUUCUCUGAUGUUAGCGGCGGACGGGUGAGUAACACGUGGAUAACCUACCUAUAAGACUGGGAUAACUUCGGGAAACCGGAGCUAAUACCGGAUAAUAUUUUGAACCGCAUGGUUCAAAAGUGAAAGACGGUCUUGCUGUCACUUAUAGAUGGAUCCGCGCUGCAUUAGCUAGUUGGUAAGGUAACGGCUUACCAAGGCAACGAUGCAUAGCCGACCUGAGAGGGUGAUCGGCCACACUGGAACUGAGACACGGUCCAGACUCCUACGGGAGGCAGCAGUAGGGAAUCUUCCGCAAUGGGCGAAAGCCUGACGGAGCAACGCCGCGUGAGUGAUGAAGGUCUUCGGAUCGUAAAACUCUGUUAUUAGGGAAGAACAUAUGUGUAAGUAACUGUGCACAUCUUGACGGUACCUAAUCAGAAAGCCACGGCUAACUACGUGCCAGCAGCCGCGGUAAUACGUAGGUGGCAAGCGUUAUCCGGAAUUAUUGGGCGUAAAGCGCGCGUAGGCGGUUUUUUAAGUCUGAUGUGAAAGCCCACGGCUCAACCGUGGAGGGUCAUUGGAAACUGGAAAACUUGAGUGCAGAAGAGGAAAGUGGAAUUCCAUGUGUAGCGGUGAAAUGCGCAGAGAUAUGGAGGAACACCAGUGGCGAAGGCGACUUUCUGGUCUGUAACUGACGCUGAUGUGCGAAAGCGUGGGGAUCAAACAGGAUUAGAUACCCUGGUAGUCCACGCCGUAAACGAUGAGUGCUAAGUGUUAGGGGGUUUCCGCCCCUUAGUGCUGCAGCUAACGCAUUAAGCACUCCGCCUGGGGAGUACGACCGCAAGGUUGAAACUCAAAGGAAUUGACGGGGACCCGCACAAGCGGUGGAGCAUGUGGUUUAAUUCGAAGCAACGCGAAGAACCUUACCAAAUCUUGACAUCCUUUGACAACUCUAGAGAUAGAGCCUUCCCCUUCGGGGGACAAAGUGACAGGUGGUGCAUGGUUGUCGUCAGCUCGUGUCGUGAGAUGUUGGGUUAAGUCCCGCAACGAGCGCAACCCUUAAGCUUAGUUGCCAUCAUUAAGUUGGGCACUCUAAGUUGACUGCCGGUGACAAACCGGAGGAAGGUGGGGAUGACGUCAAAUCAUCAUGCCCCUUAUGAUUUGGGCUACACACGUGCUACAAUGGACAAUACAAAGGGCAGCGAAACCGCGAGGUCAAGCAAAUCCCAUAAAGUUGUUCUCAGUUCGGAUUGUAGUCUGCAACUCGACUACAUGAAGCUGGAAUCGCUAGCAAUCGUAGAUCAGCAUGCUACGGUGAAUACGUUCCCGGGUCU